UUAAGAAAGCAAGAGCGCACGGUGGAUGCCUAGGCACUAAUAGGCGAAGAAGGACGCGACUAACAGCGAAAUGCUACGGGGAGCAGUAAGUAGGCAAAGAUCCGUAGGUAUCCGAAUGGGGAAACCCACUAGUUAGAAGAGCUAGUAUUGAAUAAUGAAUAGAUAGUUAUUCAAGGCGAACCCGGGGAACUGAAACAUCUAAGUACCCGGAGGAAAAGAGAACAAAAGUAAUUCCCUAAGUAGAGGCGAUUGAAAGGGGAGGAGCCCAGCACCAUGAAGAGUUAGAAAAUCUUUUUAUAGUAGAAUUGUAUUGGAAAAGCAAGACAAAGAAGGUGAAAUCCCUGUAUACGAAAUAAAGAGAUCUCGGUGUCGGAGUAGGGCGGAGCACGAGGAAUUCUGUCUGAAUAAGUGAGGACCAUCUCAUAAGGCUAAAUACUCAUUAGUGACCGAUAGUGAACCAGUACUGUGAAGGAAAGGUGAAAAGAACCCCUGGCGGGGAGUGAAAAGAACCUGAAACCGUGUGCUUACAAACAGUUAGAGCCCGUCAAAGGGUGAUAGCGUGCCUUUUGUAGAAUGAGCCGGCGAGUUACGUUAAUGUGCGAGGUUAAGUUUUAAGGGACGGAGCCGAAGCGAAAGCGAGUCUGAAGAGGGCGAAAUAGUAGAUUGACGUAUACCCGAAACCGGGUGAUCUAGCCAUGAGCAGGUUGAAGCUUGGGUAAAACCAGGUGGAGGACCGAACCAGGGUCUGUUGAAAAAGACUUGGAUGACUUGUGGCUAGGGGUGAAAUUCCAAUCGAACCCGGAGAUAGCUGGUUCUCCCCGAAAUAGCUUUAGGGCUAGCGUCGAGGUAGAGAGUUGCGUGAAGGUAGAGCACUGAAUAUGUGAUGGCCCCAUCUCGGGGUACUGAGCAUAAUCAAACUGCGAAUGUCACGGAAACAUACUCGGCAGUCAGACAGCGGGUGAUAAGGUCCGUUGUCAAGAGGGAAACAGCCCAGACCAUCAGCUAAGGUCCCAAAAUGUAUGCUAAGUGGAAAAGGAUGUGGAGAUGUACAGACAACUAGGAGGUUGGCUCAGAAGCAGCCAUCCUUUAAAGAGUGCGUAACAGCUCACUAGUCGAAUGACUCUGCGCCGAUAAUUUACCGGGGCUAAGCAUACUACCGAAGCUAUGGAUCCCAAGGGAUGGUAGGGGAGCGUUCCAUGAACGGAGAAGCGCGAUCGAGAGGACGCGUGGAGAUCAUGGAAGAGAGAAUGCCGGUGUGAGUAGCGGAACGUGGGUGAGAAUCCCACGCACCGAAAACCCAAGGUUUCCAGAGGAAGGUUCGUCCGCUCUGGGUAAGUCGGGACCUAAGGCGAGGCCGAGAGGCGUAGUCGAUGGACAACAGGUAGAGAUUCCUGUACUCAUAUAUAUGUGAAGGAAUGACGGAGAGAGGAAGCUGCAGCCAGCGGCUGGAAGAGCUGGUGCAAGCGAGAUAUCGGGAUGGCAGGCAAAUCCACCAUCCGAAACGAGAAGGCGUGAAGCGUACGGAAAGCUAAGGCGAGUACGGAAGGCAGUGGAGGAGCUUCCAAGAAAAGUUUCUAACGAAAGUAUAUGUGACCCGUACCGAAAAUGGACACACAUGGGUGAGGAGAGAAUCCUAAGGUGAGCGAGAGAACUAUAGCUAAGGAACUCUGCAAAAUGACUCCGUAACUUAGGGAGAAGGAGUGCUCAUAGAGAUAUGAGCCGCAGUGAAACGGCCCAAGCGACUGUUUACCAAAAACACAGCUCUCUGCUAAGCCGCAAGGCGAAGUAUAGGGGGUGACGCCUGCCCGGUGCUGGAAGGUUAAGGGGAGGGGUUAACGCAAGUGAAGCCCUGAACUGAAGCCCCAGUAAACGGCGGCCGUAACUAUAACGGUCCUAAGGUAGCGAAAUUCCUUGUCAGGUAAGUUCUGACCCGCACGAAAGGCGUAACGAUUUGGGCGCUGUCUCAGCUGUAGACUCGGUGAAGUCUUAGUACCUGUGAAGAUGCAGGUUACCCGCGACUAGACGGAAAGACCCCAUGGAGCUUCACUGCAGGUUGAUAUUGGGAUUUGAUGCAGCAUGUACAGGAUAGGUAGGAGGCAAAGAGAUGGAUACGCCAGUAUUCAAGGAGCCGCUGUUGGGAUACUACCCCUGUUGUAUUGGAUUUCUAACCGGACGACGUAAAGCCGUUGACGGGACAGUGUCAGUCGGGCAGUUUGACUGGGGCGGUCGCCUCCCAAAGAGUAACGGAGGCGCCCAAAGAUACCCUCAGCUUGGAUGGAAACCAAGCGCAGAGUGCAAAGGCAAAAGGGUGUUUGACUGCGAGACCUACAAGUCGAGCAGGGACGAAAGUCGGGCUUAGUGAUCCGGCGGUGCUGAAUGGAAAGGCCGUCGCUCAACGGAUAAAAGCUACCCUGGGGAUAACAGGCUGAUCUCCCCCAAGAGUCCACAUCGACGGGGAGGUU
rnacentral:rRNA from 1 species